rnacentral:snRNA from 1 species
AACCGCGCGGUGAGCACAAAGCAAACUAUUCUUUCACAUUUUACUAGAGAAUACCGUGUGCUCGCCAGACACAGUGGCAUACGCCAAUUUUUUAUGGGUUCUUCCCUAUUCUGAGAAGG